ACAAACUGGCUAACCACUCAUUCCUUGCAGAGAGCCUAAAGAGCAAGGUACCAGAAAUGAUUGCUAGUGUCGAGGCGUUGCUGGAAAGCAAAGUCUGUAAUUAAGAAGAAGUAUGGCCAAGAUGCAACAAAUGUUGGUGAUGAGGGUGACAUUGCUCUAAUAUCCAGGAGAACAAGGAAGGUCUUGAAUUGCUUAAAACAGCUAUUGCUAAAGCUGGUUACACUGGUAAAGUUGUGAUUGGGAUGGAUGUGGCUGCUUCUGAGUUUUAUGGUAAAGACAAGACUUAUGAUCUAAACUUCAAAGAAGAGAAUAAUGAUGGCUCACAAAAGAUAUCAGGUUAUGACUGAAGGCUCUCAUUUCAUUGGAAAGUUUGGAAGCUACUGCAAGUUCUUUCUACUUGCUAGGGAUGAGAAUAUUUUAGUUUGUGCACAAGAGAAUCUUUUAAGUUUGUGCACAUGAGAAUCUUUCAAGUUUGUAUUUGUUAGGGAUUUGUUAUGUUAGUACUUGUUACUGACUUUUAGUUCAACAAAUUAUAUUUGAGUAUUGACUUUU